rnacentral:rRNA from 1 species
CCUGGUUGAUCCUGCCAGUAGUCAUAUGCUUGUCUCAAAGAUUAAGCCAUGCAUGUCUAAGUAUAAGCGACUAUACUGUGAAACUGCGAAUGGCUCAUUAAAUCAGUUAUGGUUUAUUUGAUGGUACCUUGCUACUUGGAUAACCGUAGUAAUUCUAGAGCUAAUACAUGCAGGAGUUCCCGACUCACGGAGGGAUGUAUUUAUUAGAUAAGAAACCAAACCGGUCUCCGGUUGCGUGCUGAGUCAUAAUAACUGCUCGAAUCGCACGGCUCUACGCCGGCGAUGGUUCAUUCAAAUUUCUGCCCUAUCAGCUUUCGAUGGUAGGAUAGAGGCCUACCAUGGCGUUAACGGGUAACGGAGAAUUAGGGUUCGAUUCCGGAGAGGGAGCCUGAGAAAUGGCUACCACAUCCAAGGAAGGCAGCAGGCGCGUAAAUUGCCCGAAUCUUGACACAGGGAGGUAGUGACAAGAAAUAACAAUACAGGGCUAUUUUAGUCUUGUAAUUGGAAUGAGUACAAUUUACAUCUCUUCACGAGGAUCAAUUGGAGGGCAAGUCUGGUGCCAGCAGCCGCGGUAAUUCCAGCUCCAAUAGCGUAUAUUAAAGUUGUUGCAGUUAAAACGCUCGUAGUCGGAUUUCGGGGCGGGCCGACCGGUCUGCCGAUGGGUAUGCACUGGCCGGCGCGUCCUUCCACCCGGAGACCGCGCCUACUCUUAACUGAGCGGGCGCGGGAGACGGGUCUUUUACUUUGAAAAAAUCAGAGUGUUUCAAGCAGGCAGUCGCUCUUGCAUGGAUUAGCAUGGGAUAAUGAAAUAGGACUCUGGUGCUAUUUUGUUGGUUUCGAACACCGGAGUAAUGAUUAACAGGGACAGUCAGGGGCACUCGUAUUCCGCCGAGAGAGGUGAAAUUCUCAGACCAGCGGAAGACGAACCACUGCGAAAGCAUUUGCCAGGGAUGUUUUCACUGAUCAAGAACGAAAGUUAGGGGAUCGAAGACGAUCAGAUACCGUCGUAGUCUUAACCAUAAACCAUGCCGACUAGGGAUUGGAGGAUGUUCCAUUUGUGACUCCUUCAGCACCUUUCGGGAAACUAAAGUCUUUGGGUUCCGGGGGGAGUAUGGUCGCAAGGCUGAAACUUAAAGGAAUUGACGGAAGGGCACCACCAGGAGUGGAGCCUGCGGCUUAAUUUGACUCAACACGGGGAAACUUACCAGGUCCAGACAUUGUGAGGAUUGACAGAUUGAGAGCUCUUUCUGAUUCGAUGGGUGGUGGUGCAUGGCCGUC